GCUUUUUAGUUUUUCAACUAUCUACUUUCUGGAUAUCAAAGGACCUGGGUUUUUAUCCUGUAAAGAAUCAAAGUGAACCCUAGUGCAUGCUGUAGGCCAGCCACAGAGAAAACCCAACUCUAUGUGUCCUUGCUGCUUCCUAACCAUACAUAUUAUAUUAGUUUUUCUUUUGUUACUGUGAUAAAAACCAAGUUUGUUUAUUUUGGGUUUGUUUGUUUGUUUGGUUUUUGAUUUUGGUUUUGUUUGCUUAUGGUUCCAGAGUGAUAAGGUCCUCAAUGAUGGGAAAGAUUUAGCAGUAGGAGCAGAAAGCAUAGAGGUUCCAUAACCUCUGCAAAUAGUGCCACUGACUGGGGAUAUCACUAUUGCUGUGUUUUGAGACAUGAUAAAAUUAAAUUCAAGUUUAUAUAACUAUGAACUAUGAUGUUAGAUCUGGUAACCAAGUAACUAGUGAGCAUUAUAUGCUAAAUGCAUAGAUGAAUCUCAUACAGAGGUGGCAGGGAAAAGAACAGAAAAUACAGGAUAUUAUCACAGUUUACACUUUAAAAUAUGAGUUCUAGACUCUUCCAUGUGAAUAGUCAUUAUGGAUGACUUUAUAUGGCUGAAACCUGAGAAAAGAUAGUCAGAGGUGACAGCAAAUAUAUAUGUGUUCUAUAACAUGAGAAGUUGCUAAAUGUCUUUCACAAAUUUAUAAUGUUAUGCUUUGAUAGAAAAUCAGAACUUUUACCUCAAUGGGGAUGAAAGAUUUUUUUUAUUCUAGAGCCAAAUAUGAGUUACCAUGGUUUGGGAACACAGGUUUAGAUUACCUCAAACUCCAUGUUCCAACAUCAGUAAUUCACAACUGCCUAUAACUCCUGCUGCAGGGCAUCCCAGUGUCCUGUCUGCCCUUUGCUAACACCUGCACAUAUGUGUACAUACCUACAUACAGAUAUACACAUAUUAAGGUUAUUUUUUUUUUAAAAAAAGCUAUUUUAAAG
rnacentral:lncRNA from 1 species